GCCUCGUCUGCCCUCCGGUGACUUCAGGAAGUAGCACACCGACCCCCUCCGCCUAUUGUUGAUCCACCCUGCCGGGAACAGAGAACCGUUCUGACCGAAACGUGGGAAUCCCUUUUUGUUGUUGUUGUAUUUCAACAUUUUAUCGCCACUCGUAUGCUGUGACUUUCAAUAGUUUAGAAUUACAUCGAUAAAAGUAUCGAAGCUGUAACUCUCUCAAAGGGAGUGAGGUUGUUUGGGAAAGAGGAAACUUUUUUUCAUCCCUGAACGAAUUUCCAUUCCUCCAUUUUGAGGCGUUUUGUUUUUUGGAGCUGGAAAAAGUUUAAGUGUAUUGUCUUUCGAUACCGAGUGAACAUGACAGCCAUAAACACAGCCAACAUAAACUUCAAAUGGGAUCCAAAGAGCCUGGAGAUCCGUACCCUGGCUGUGGAGCGGCUGCUGGAGCCCUUGGUCACACAGGUCACGACCCUGGUGAACUCCAGCAACAAGGGGCCGUCCAAUAAGAAGAAAGGUCGCUCUAAGAAGGCCCAUGUAUUGGCUGCCUCGGUGGAGACAGCCACCUUGAACUUCCUGGAUAAAGGAGAGAAGAUCGCGAAGGAGAGCCAGUUUCUCAAGGACGAGCUCACUGCUGCCGUGGAGGAUGUACGCAAGCAAGGUGAAUCCAUGAAGCAGGCAUCAGGAGAGUUUGCAGAGGACCCCUGUUCCUCGGUAAAGAGGGGUAACAUGGUCCGUGCAGCCAGGGCCCUCCUCUCUGCGGUCACUCACCUGCUGGUUCUGGCCGACAUGUCUGAUGUCUACAAGCUGCUGCUGCAACUCAAACUGGUGGAGGAGAACCUGAUGAAGGUGCGUAACGCUGGAACAGAGCAGGACCUGGGCAUACAGUACAAGGCCCUGAAACCAGAGGUGGACAAACUCAACAUGAUGGCUGCCAAGAGACAGCAGGAGUUGAAGGAUGUUCACCAUAAGGAUCGGAUGGCGGCUGCCCGCGGUGUUCUCCAGAGGAACAUCCCCAUGCUCUACACUGCGUCCCGCGCCUGCCUUCAACACCCUGACCUGGCCGCAUACAAGGCGAACCGUGACCUGAUUUACAAGCAGCUUCAGCAUGCAGUCUCAGGCAUCUCUAAUGCUGCCCAGGCUACCGCCUCGGAUGAUGCUGCCUUCAACCACCCUGCCGGCGGAGGAGAGCUGGCCUACGCUCUCAACAACUUUGAUAAGCAGAUCAUCGUGGACCCCCUGGCAUUUAGCGAGGAGCGUUUCCGCCCGUCUCUGGAGGAGCGCUUGGAGAGCAUCAUCAGUGGCGCCGCCCUCAUGGCCGACUCGUCCUGUACCCGCGAUGACCGGCGCGAGCGCAUCGUGGCCGAGUGCAACUCUGUCCGUCAGGCUCUGCAGGACCUGCUGUCUGAGUACAUGGGCAAUGCUGGCAAGAAGGACAAGAGUGAUGCUCUGAACACUGCCAUCGACAGGAUGACCAAGAAGACUAGGGACCUUCGCAGACAGCUGCGUAAGGCGGUCAUGGAUCACGUCUCUGACUCGUUCCUGGAGACCAACGUUCCUCUGCUGGUUCUGAUCGAAGCGGCGAAGAACGGAAACGAGAAGGAGGUGAAGGAAUACGCCCAGGUGUUCCGCGAGCAUGCCAACAAGCUCAUCGAGGUACGUUACCUAAAGAAACACACACAUCUCUUGGCCUUUUCUUAUUCCGAUACGGUCCGCGUUCUCACUGACGCCGUCGAUGACAUCACCAGCAUCGACGACUUCCUCUGUGUGUCCGAGAACCACAUUCUGGAGGACGUGAACAAGUGUGUGAUAGCGCUGCAGGAGAAGGAUGUGGACGGGUUGGACCGCACGGCCGGCGCCAUCCGUGGCCGCGCCGCCAGAGUGGUCCAUGUGGUCACGUGUGAGAUGGACAAACUAUGAACCUGGAGUCUAUACAGAGAAGGUUCUGGAGGCCACCAAGCUACUCACCAAACACAGUCAUGCCCAGGUUCACAGAGCAGGUGGAGGCAGCGGUCGAGGCUCUGAGUGCCAACCCCACACUCCCUGUUGACGAGAACGAGUUCAUCGAUGCCUCCCGUCUGGUCUACGAUGGAGUCCGCGACAUCCGCAAGGCCGUGCUGAUGAUCAGGACUCCUGAAGAGCUGGAUGACUCUGACUUUGAGACGGAGGACUUCGAUGUUCGCAGCAGGACCAGCGUUCAGACAGAAGAUGACCAGCUUAUCGCAGGCCAGAGCGCCAGGGCUAUCAUGGCCCAGCUGCCCCAGGAGCAGAAGGCUAAGAUCGCUGAGCAGGUGGCCAGUUUCCAGGAAGAGAAGAGCAAGCUGGACGCUGAGGUGUCCAAGUGGGACGACUCCGGCAACGACAUCAUCGUCCUGGCCAAACAGAUGUGUAUGAUCAUGAUGGAGAUGACGGACUUCACCAGGGGUAAAGGUCCGUUGAAGAAUACCUCUGAUGUCAUCAGUGCUGCUAAGAAGAUUGCUGAGGCUGGAUCCAGGAUGGAUAAACUGGGCCGCACCAUCGCAGACCAGUGUCCAGACUCAGCCUGUAAGCAGGACCUGUUGGCCUACCUGCAGCGUAUUGCUCUGUACUGCCACCAGCUCAACAUCUGUAGUAAGGUGAAAGCAGAGGUCCAGAACCUGGGAGGAGAGCUCGUGGUCUCUGGGGAGGUUUCCCAAGCAUUCCUAGAGAGCCAGGUGGACAGUGCUAUGUCUCUGAUCCAGGCAGCUAAGAACCUGAUGAAUACGGUUGUGUCCACGGUCAAGGCGAGCUACGUGGCCUCCACUAAGUACCAGAAGUCCAUGGCCAUGCAGUCCCUCAACAUGCCUGCUAUCUCCUGGAAGAUGAAGGCCCCAGAGAAGAAACCCCUGGUCAAGAGAGAGAAACAGGAAGAUGGAUCCAACAACAAGGUCAAGAGGUCAUCCCAAAAGAAGCACAUCAACCCUGUCCAGGCCCUCAGCGAGUUCAAAGCCAUGGAUAGCAUCUAGAGAUGGAGCAGUCCGUUGGUCAGGGGGUGGUGAAGGGGAGGUGGAGCUACAGGGUUGGGGAUAGCGAGCCAGUUGGAUGUUUUUUUUUGUUGUCUUGUCACAAAAAUAGAAAGAGUGAGAAAAUAAAAAUAAGAUUAAGAAUUGUUUAGAAAUCAUUCCUCCUUUCCUUUCCCUAGUCUAGUCCAGCUGUCUGGUUUGACCUGAUGUCUCUAUACAGACUCACUAAGGUGGACCACUGAUCUCUAUCUUUUCAAUCAAACGCCUGCAUUCUGGUUGCUCUGUUUCUAUCCUACCGUAUGACGUCUCUGGUGGGAGAACGAAGCAAAAGGGCCUUUCCUCCCAUAUUCCUUGUUUUGAUUCUAUUCCAAUGUUGGCAUGAGAAAGAUGCUUUCAUUGAUACUGUACGAUUUCAUUCUGACAACUAAUCAUUUUUUGACCCCUGACCCUCUACCCCUAACCUGUGAUGUGAGAUGCCCCUGUGUAUUUUAUAGAAUUACAUUCUAACAUAUUUUAGAAUUGUGUGACCGGUGGAAGGGUGUUGGAGGGGAUUCCACUGUGUGCCGUAGAUAAUAGAGAUGGGUCUUUCCACUCUGAACCGUCUCUAUUGUCUCAUUACUCUGGUGAAGCUUUGGUUUACGUUUUUCCAUCUUGAUGUGUUCUGUCUAAUAAAAGUUUGAUAUUUUAGUGUCGUAUCACUUCAUACUUAUUAUACACUGGGUGGUUUCAACCCUGAAUGCUGAUUGGCUGAAAGCUUUUUGUAUAUCAGACCGUAAACCACAGUUCUGAAAAAUACAUGUAUUUUUACUGCUCUAAUCGGUAACCAGUUUAUAAUGUCAAUAAAACACCUCGGGGGUUUGUGGUAUACGGCCAAUGUACCACGGCUAAGGGCUGUAUCCAGGCACUCUGCGUUGUGUCGUACUUAAGAACAGCCCUUAGCCGUGGUAUAUUGACCAUAGACUAUUGUAACACUGAAUAGUCAUUAUUGAGUGUUUUAAGUUCAGUAAAUCUGUUUCUGUUGUCCUCUUUGACAUUUAGAGCUGUAAAUGUAUUAGUUAAUAAAAAAUCCUUCAUCAGUGAUUUAAAAACAAUAAUCAGGACAAGUUCUUCCAGUUUAAAAGUAUUUUGUAAGGUGUUCCAAGACGAUGGUGCAGAGGACAUAAAAGCCCCUUAACCAAAUUCAGUUUGGACAUUUGGAACAGUUAACAGGAUAAAGAGUAGUUUUAAAUAGCCUGGAUGAGGUGGUGUUUUCCCUGUCGUUACCCCCCCCCACCCCCCAGGUUUUAAAUAGUAGUCUGGAUGAGGUGUUUUCCCUGUCGUUAACCCCCCAGGUUUUAAAUAGUAGUCUGGAUGAGGUGUUUUCCCUGUCGUUAACCCCCCAGGUUUUAAAUAGUAGUCUGGUUGAGGUGUUGUUUACCCUGUCGUUAACCCCCCAGGUUUUAAAUAGUAGUCUGGAUGAGGUGUUUUCCCUGUCGUUAACCCCCCAGGUUUUAAAUAGUAGUCUGGGUGAGGUGUUGUUUUCCCCGUCGUUAACCCCCCAGGUUUUAAAUAGUAGUCUGGAUGAGGUGUUGUUUUCCCUGUCGUUAACCCCCCAGGUUUUAAAUAGUAGUCUGGGUGAGGUGUUUUCCCUGUCGUUAACCCCCCAGGUUUUAAAUAGUAGUCUGGAUGAGGUGUUGUUUUCCCUGUCGUUAACCCCCCAGGUUUUAAAUAGUAGUCUGGAUGGCGUGGUGUUUUCCCUGUCGUUAACCCCCCAGGUUUUAAAUAGUAGUCUGGGUGAGGUGUUGUUUUCCCCGUCGUUAACCCCCCAGGUUUUAAAUAGUAGUCUGGAUGAGGUGUUGUUUUCCCUGUCGUUAACCCCCCAGGUUUUAAAUAGUAGUCUGGGUGAGGUGUUUUCCCUGUCGUUAACCCCCCAGGUUUUAAAUAGUAGUCUGGAUGAGGUGUUGUUUUCCCUGUCGUUAACCCCCCAGGUUUUAAAUAGUAGUCUGGAUGGCGUGGUGUUUUCCCUGUCGUUACCCCCCCCCCCCCCCAGGUUUUAAAGAGUAGUCUGGAUGAGGUGUUGCGUGCUGUAUGCAGCAAGCCAAAGCUAACAGAGAGAACAAUCAUUCUCUCCCAGCCUUCUGGGAGUAACACCAGCCCUCAAUACGCAGGGCGUCCGGGCUCCAUCGACUCUCAAUGAGACCGCUGUGCAUCCUGAAUGCCACCCUUAACCCUCUUCCCUAUAUAGUGCAGUACUAUAGACCCUAUUCCCUAUAUAGUGCACUACUAUAGACCCUCUUCCCUAUAUAGUGCACUACUAUAGACCCUAUUCCCUAUAUAGUGCACUACUAUAGACCCUCUUCCCUAUAUAGUGCACUACUAUAGACCCUAUUCCCUAUAUAGUGCACUACUAUAGACCAUAUUCCCUAUAUAGUGCACUACUAUAGACCCUAUUCCCUAUAUAGUGCACUACUAUAGGUGGAGGAGGUGGGUGGUAGAGGAGGAGGGUGGUAGAGGUGGAGGAGGUGGGUGGUAGAGGAGGAGAAGGGUGGUGGAGGAGGGGAAGAGAGAACUUGUGAGAAGAUUUUUCCAUAAAUGAGUUAAAGCAGUGGAAGGUAAUGUGGAAGUGUUAGCUGUGAUGUUAGCUUGUUGUUCCAUCAGACAACAUCUCAUUCCAAGUGGAACACUAAUUCCUUUAUAUUGCACGACUGGACGUGAAUAGUGCUCUAUAUAGGGAAUAGGGUCUAUAGUAGUGCACUAUAUAGGGAAUAGGGUCUAUAGUAGUGCACUAUAUAGGGAAUAGGGUCUAUAGUAGUGCUCUAUAUAGGGAAUAGGGUCUAUAGUAGUGCACUAUAUAGGGAAUAGGGUCCCAUUUGGGACUUAUCCUAGGUCAUAUAACAGCGCAGUACAGUAUGUAGGUUGGGCAGUGUCGUGGGUUUAUUCCUUUAAAACAGGGCCCCUUUGGGUCCUGCGAUGCUUCAGCUUGUUUCUAAACAUAGAGGCAGGUCACGUAGGGGCACGACGGCAGAUGGACAGAAUAUUGGUUUGUGUUUUUAGCUUGUUUGAGUGUUACUUUGGGCUGCUGUGGUGUUAUUUUUUGCAGUGGGUAGUAGAGACUAUUAGAUGGAUGAUUCUCGUUAUGAUACAAAUUUUGUGGUGAGAGAAUAAAGAGGACUCCCAAAUGCCUUCCUAUUCCCUAGGUAGUACACCUCCUUUGGACCAGGCAGCCGUAGGGAAUCGGGCGGCAUUUGGGACUGAAGUCAGGUUAUAUUUGCAGCGGACGUUGUUUUUAACUUUUGGUUUUUAUUUGAGAACUAGGAGACCCUGUACUGCACCCUGUUUUACAUAUUCAUGUUCCCAGCUUUCACUUCAUAAUGAAUAAAUGAUUCCCUGUC